rnacentral:tRNA from 1 species
AAAGGGAGACCUAAUUCGGGUAUAAGACGAAAAAAUAGUAGUCGAAACCAAGAAUCAAUCCCAAAAGGUCGGAGCGAGGCGAAAUUGGCUUUCAAACUAGGUUCUGGGUUCAAACAAGACCUGAAUCAGGAACAAGGGCUAUUAGCUCAGGUGGUUAGAGCGCACCCCUGAUAAGGGUGAGGUCCCUGGUUCGAGUCCAGGAUGGCCCACCUGCACAGGUGGCAAAAACAAGAGAAGCGAGGAAUCAGCACCUUAUCUUACUUAUAUAGUAAGAGAGAAUGCUGGCUCUGAGUAAAGAGUCCAGAGGAACCUUGAAAACUGCAUAGAGCUAGGUGAAAAAGCCAAAAAAGAAGACCGCAAG